CAAACCAAGUUAUACGCUCUACAGAUACUAAAGGAAAUAAACAUACUUCUCGAGAAAGCUGUUUUGCCAAUACGGUAACACUAAACUAAAAGAAAACAGAACUUUCUAAAUCUCACCAAUCCUCGUCCUCCUCCGGCUCUUGCAAGCGGGGCAGCUCUUUUUUGCACCCAUCCAUGUCUGUAGUGAAAGACAAAGAUACACUUUCUUAAGAAAGCCAGAACUCGGCCGGGCGCAGUGGCUCACGCCUAUAAUCCCAGCACUUUGGGAGGCCGAGGCGGGCAGAUCACAAUGUCAUGAGAUCGAGACCAUCCUGGCUAACACGGUGAAACCCUAUCUCUAUUAAAAAUACAAAAAAUUAGCCAGGCGUGGUGGCGGGCGCCUGUAGUCCCAGCUACUCGAGAGGCUGAGGCCCCCUCAUCACCUUCUUCCUUCUGUCCAACCUCCACUGCCCCGGCCUUGACCCCUCCCCAACUCCUUCCUCCUAUCAGGUCUGGACCCUACCCCCACCAUUCUCACCUCAGUCUUCCACCAAUCAGGCCUCAACCCCACCACCCUUCCCCCACACUCGCACCUCCAACCACCUCCAGCCACCUUCAACUGCUCCCAACCGGUUUUCCAAGCAG
rnacentral:lncRNA from 10 species